AGAAUGAACGUUGGCGGCGUGGAUUAGGCAUGCAAGUCGUACGGGCCGCAAGGCCAGUGGCGCAAGGGUGAGUAAGGCGACGGUAACCAACCCCAUGACUGGGUAUAGCCGCGGGAAACUGCGGGUAAUCCCCAGCGACGUCCGGGGGGGGCAUCCCCCCGGGACCAAAGCUCCGGCGUCGUGGGACGGGCCGUCGUGGUAUUAGGUCGUUGGCGGGGUAACGGCCCACCAAGCCUGCGAUGCCUACCGGGCGUGCGAGCGUGGCCCGGCACACUGGGACUGAGACACUGCCCAGACUCCUACGGGAGGCUGCAGUCGAGAAUCUUCGGCAAUGGGCGCAAGCCUGACCGAGCGACGCCGCGUGGAGGACGAAGGCCUUCGGGUUGUAAACUCCUGUCGAGGGGGAAGAAGGCCCCGUGAGGGCUUGACUGAUCCCUGGAGGAGCACGGGCUAAGUUCGCGCCAGCAGCCGC
rnacentral:rRNA from 1 species